UACGUAGGGGGCUAGCGUUGUCCGGAAUCAUUGGGCGUAAAGAGCGUGUAGGCGGCCAGGUAGGUCUGCUGUGAAAACUCGAGGCUCAACCUCGAGAUGUCGGCGGAAACCAUCUGGCUAGAGUCCGGAAGAGGAGAGUGGAAUUCCUGGUGUAGCGGUGAAAUGCGCAGAUAUCAGGAAGAACACCCGUGGCGAAGGCGGCUCUCUGGGACGGUACUGACGCUGAGACGCGAAAGCGUGGGGAGCGAACAGG
rnacentral:rRNA from 1 species